rnacentral:rRNA from 1 species
UACGUAGGGGGCAAGCGUUGUCCGGAAUUACUGGGCGUAAAGGGCGCGUAGGCGGCCCGUCAAGUCCCGUGUGAAAGCCCCCGGCUCAACCGGGGAACGGCGCGGGAAACUAGCAGGCUUGAGUUCGGGAGAGGGAAGCGGAAUUCCGGGUGUAGCGGUGAAAUGCGCAGAUAUCAGGAGGAACACCGGUGGCGAAGGCGGCCAUCUGGACGGAUACUGACGCUGAGACGCGAAAGCGUGGGUAGCAAACAGG